CCUUCGGGUGGCAGCAGUGAGGAAUAUUGGUCAAUGGGAGAGAUCCUGAACCAGCCAAGCCGCGUGAGGGAUGAAGGUCCUGUGUAUUGUAAACCUCUUUUGUCAGGGAACAAAGGCGGGGACGUGUCCCCGGCUGCGUGUAUCUGAAGAAAAAGCAUCGGCUAACUCCGUGCCAGCAGCCGCGGUAAUACGGAGGAUGCGAGCGUUAUCCGGAUUUAUUGGGUUUAAAGGGUGCGUAGGCGGUCUGUUAAGUCAGCGGUAAAAGUGCGGGGCUCAACCCCGGCCAGCCGUUGAAACUGGCAGUCUUGAGUUGGAGAGAAGUACGCGGAAUGCGCGGUGUAGCGGUGAAAUGCAUAGAUAUCGCGCAGAACUCCGAUUGCGAAGGCAGCAUGCCGGCGCCACACUGACGCUGAGGCACGAAAGCGUGGGGAUCGAACAGGAUUAGAUACCCCGGUAGUC
rnacentral:rRNA from 1 species